rnacentral:rRNA from 1 species
CAGCCGCCGCGGUAAUACGUAGGGUGCGAGCGUUAAUCGGAUUUACUGGGCGUAAAGCGUGCGCAGGCGGCCCGUUAAGACAGGUGUGAAAUCCCUGGGCUCAACCUAGGAAUUGCGCUUGUGACUGGCGGGCUCGAAUACGGUAGAGGGGGGUGGAAUUCCUGGUGUAGCAGUGAAAUGCGUAGAGAUCAGGAGGAACACCGAUGGCGAAGGCAGCCCCCUGGGCCUGUACUGACGCUCAUGCACGAAAGCGUGGGGAGCAAACAGGAUUAGAUACCCUGGUAGUCCACGCCCUAAACGAUGGGUACUAGCCGUUUGGUGCGCGAUAGCGCUGAGUGGCGAAGCUAACGCGUGAAGUACCCCGCCUGGGGAGUACGGCCGCAAGGUUGAAACUUAAAGGAAUUGGCGGG